GAGAAGAGGAAGAAGAAGAAGGAAG
rnacentral:sRNA from 1 species